UCUUCCUACGGGGGGCAGCAGUGAGGAAUAUUGGUCAAUGGGAGAGAUCCUGAACCAGCCAAGCCGCGUGAGGGAAGACGGCCCUAUGGGUUGUAAACCUCUUUUGUCGGAGAACAAAACCCGGGACGUGUCCCGGACUGCGUGUAUCCGAAGAAAAAGCAUCGGCUAACUCCGUGCCAGCAGCCGCGGUAAUACGGAGGAUGCGAGCGUUAUCCGGAUUUAUUGGGUUUAAAGGGUGCGUAGGCGGUCUGUUAAGUCAGCGGUGAAAGUUUGUGGCUCAACCAUAAAAUUGCCGUUGAAACUGG
rnacentral:rRNA from 1 species